AUCUGGCGAGGAACAGAACAAAACACAAGACGCAUGUUUGCAUGUUCACUUGGGCGCGGGAGGACCCCUCCCCUGCCUCGCCUCCAUCCCCUCCCUGGCGCCCCCUAGAAGUGCGGUCGGAGGGGCGGGCCGCCCACACCUUUCCCGGGUCUGGCUUUCCCUCUCCGGUGCCAGGAGGGGACCGUGAAGCCGCCAGCUGGGCUGCGCCGCACGCUGCGCUGGCACCUCGGCCUGCGCCAACAGCUCGCCCCCUCCUCAGGGAAAGCUCGGCAAACAGUGCUGAGCCUCGCAAGCUGCCGCCCAUUAAUGCCUCUUAGCCUGCAAGCUGGGUAACCUGCUCCGAGGGCGGCCGCCCCUCCUGGCUGGCACUCUCUCCUCCCCUCGGCCCUUCUGUCUCCCUGCUGGCCAGGGCCGUCUCGCCUUCGCCCUCCUGCUCUCCCUCCACCCACCCUCGCGCGCCCUUUUGUUUCUCCUUCCUCCUGGUUUCCCUGUUGUUUCCUUUCCCUUCCCUCCCUUGCAUGUCUCACUUCCUCCUUCCCCGCCUCUCCACUUGCCGGGGUCCUCCGAGGCCUUCCUGCCUCGCCCUCCUGGCCGCAGUUCCGAUUCUGUCCCUCCGGAGACCGCUGCCUGCCUCUGCCCUUCUCCGGGUCGAGGGGGAGCAAGUCCUCCAGGAAGAAGGCUGUGGUGGGGAACAGGCGUCCAUCUGGGACUGAGAGAGGUGGGCAGCAUCCUGGUGUGGGGCAAUCAGCACCACCAAGCUUGGGGCCUGGACCAGGCUGCAGCUUCAGACUCCAGGGAAGGGGGCUCCUCAUCCCCCUGUUUUCCAGGACCAAAUCUUGCUUUAAUUAAAAAAAAUUAAACUCACUUUGCUCUAAUAAAUGACAGAGAAUAUGGGAGAUGCUCUAUUUGUAACCAAUCUUGCUUUAUAGAUUUAAUCUAUGAUCAGACACUUGGAUUUAAAUGCCUUUGUCAUUUUCCUGAUAGAGAAGUACCAGCUCCUAAUGGAUACUGUGGUAUUUAGAACUGUGCCCAGCAAGACUGACCCCUGGUCAGUCAUCAUUUAAAUGAAUGCCCUUUUUUUUUUAUACCAAAAAGCAAAGAGAGGUCAAUUGCAACCUCUGGGGAGGAGGAACCCCUCUCGGUUUGGCUUUAUAGAAAUGGGCUUGGUGGGGGGGGGAUAUGACUUUUUGAAAAAUAAUAAAAAUACUUUUAAAAAAUAGAGGAGGAGAGUCUUGCUAAGACCUGCAGCAGGCAAAGUGGCACAGGUCCACCACAGUAGGGCUUUGCUGGUCACUUCAUUCACUAGCUAGUGGGAAAAGGCUUUCUAGCUCAUCUCCGAGAAAACACCACUGGGCCUGGCCAUCAAUUCCUUCUUCUCUUUGGCCCUGCAGCUGUCCUGAUCCAGAAGACCAUGGAGAUGCCAGGAAGGACAGGGAAGGGAAGGAGAGACUGUGGCUACUCAAUCCAAGUAGGCUACCGAUGCCUUGGACACUGGAGUUCCAGAUCCUUGGCACACAAUAAAAUAUUGUUUCAGCCUUUCUCCUAGGGACAGAAAGAGAUACUCACGCCCCCGCCCCAUCUGCCUUUUCCUGUUGUGUAUCAGAGGGGACAUUGCAUCACUGGACAGGGACAGAACAGGCAGGGGACUUAUCCGCCAACAAAAAACAACUGUUCAGAGAUUACUGGAUGGGUCAUUCAUUCAUAAAAGGGCAGAAUGGAGACUGCCUCAAAGCACAGAUUUUGCAGAAGCAAAAACUGUUAGCAGGGUUCCCUGGCCAGUGCCCUGGGUUCCAGUGCAGUGGGGCAUGCAUUUCUGUGCCAGCUUGUGAGGCCUCAGAGGGCUGUGCUGAGCCCCCUGCAGGAGGCUGACCCCCUUAGCUCAUGCAAGCUGUGAGUCCCCUUCCACAGGUAACACGGGGCCUUGGAGUAGGAGCCAGAAGGGAGAGUUGCGCAUUUGCAGAAUGUGGGGAGUCAUGGUAGUCACGAACUCAGCGUCCCCUGAAGAGAAACCCGGCACCCCAGAGGGCACACUUACGUGCACACGGUCUUGAUGUUCGUCUUGUCAUCCAGGCCCUGCGGGUAGUUGGCCAUGCUGUCGCCCAGCUUGAGCAAACAGUCUGAAAAGCCCUUAAAGACCGCAUCGCACUUGCCUGCUGCUCUCACGGCCUGCACCAGGUACGCUGCGGGGAGGAGGGGACACAGGUCAGCAGCUCGUGGGCCCGCCUCGUCCCUGGCCCUCCCACCACGCCUCCUGCUGCGGGGCAGGGAUGAAGGUGAACAGGUGAACUGCAGAGGUGGCCUGGGACUGACCGGUGUAAUUAUUUGGGUGCCAGAGGCCGUGGGUGGGAGAGAUGAGUUCAGUCCGCUCCCCAGCUCGCUCCCGAAGUGCACGCUGUAUCUUUUUCUGUUUCCAACGCCCCCUCUUCUCACCUCCCUCAUCUUCUUUAUUUCUUUCCCUCACUGCCUCCUUCGUCUCCCAACACUCCCCAGCAAGCCCAGUCACGCCUCUCUCUCCGCGCAAUCUUCCAUUUCUGAGGUGACAAAUGGAGGGUGGGGGCUCGGCCGUGGAGUGCGGGGCAGGGACAGCGUGGCGAGAAGGCCGGGCUCGGGGUUGCGCAGCUGAAUCCAACACCACUACGCGCACGAAACCCUCACGUGUCCGGAUCUGGGCUCGGCAGCGCUACCCAGAGAAUAAAGACUCAAAGCCACCAGCGGUCGCCGAGACACUGUUUCAUUCUCAAACCCACUGUGUGCGGCCCGCGGGGUCUGUUCCACGGGAGGCUCUAGGAACCGGCGAACUAGGGGUGGUGGUGGUGAAAAUUGGUCCCUGAAGGUCAGGGGACAACAGGAGGGCGAGAUCACAGAUGUGUCCACUGGGUAACUCUGGGUCACCCCCACGAGCCUCGGGGCCCCUGCUUUCCUCUGCCUGUGUCUGGCGGCGCCAGCCUCUGCACCAAAUCCUAGGAAAGGCCGCAGCUACCCAUCACAAAAGCCGAUCAGAUCCUGCCUUGCCAAGCCCCAGCCGGCUCUCGGAGCGCAGAGCGCGCAGCCGCCCUGGGCUCCUGCUCCAGCUCCGAGCUCCCUCCGGGAGAAGGGCUGCCGAGCAGACCUUAUGAGAGCCGGGAGGAGCAGGACAACACGCAGGCCGCACUGAGGGCCUCAAGUCGGUCAGUCCCCGAGGCUCCAGGCUGGAGAGAGAGGUCCAGGCCCAGAGCGCACUGCAGUGGCCUUUUCUUUCCACCCUGAGGCCAAGAACCCGACAGAAGCUGGGCACCCGGUGCCUCCCAAACACCUCGGGCACCAAGGGUGCUAGAGAAACGCGCACCUGCGCUCUCGGGGGAGGUGAAUCUCAGAAUCAAUCUAAAUCUGCCUCCAACUCCCAGGACUGGAAUGCAGGUCGCUUCCCGGGCAGUGUUCCGGAGGCCACCACUGGGGCGUGAAUGUAUCCCGGGGGACUGUGCACCUUACCCCCCAAUCCCCACGCAGCCUUAGGGCCGAGCGCCGGAGCGGGAAGGUGACCGAGCUGCAGCAGCCUAGGAGGGCCCGCCGUGCGGCUUGCAGACUGCUGCUGCAGGAAGCCACGGGCGGGCCUUGCGCUUUCUAAUCCGGAACGGGAAACGCUGGGGAAGGGACCAAGGUUAAUUUCGCCCUAAGCUGGGGCAGGGAUCUUCCUAAGUCUCCUAUUUUCUCUUACCCCCGACCCCAAUUUAAUACCCAUGCUACUACAACAAUAACACAUCGAAGGCUGAGCCGGAAUCUCAUGGGCAAGAGCAUCUUUGUCCUGAUGGAACUCUGCCGCCUUGACACAAACCCUGCACACCUUCCUCUGUAAUGCGUGUCACAAAUACAGCUUUGCAAGGGACAGACAAGACACAGACCACCCUCCCCUCUCCCGGCUUCUCCUCACCCUUCACUUCCACUCCCCUCACUCGCUGUCCAAAGAGAAGCCCCUAAGAAGCGCUGGUAAUUUUUUUUUCAAAAGGAAGUGGUUGCUCGCUGGGAACGGGAAGCGCGCCUGCCACGUUAUCUUUCCAGGCGCCGCACACCGCGCAUGUGUGAGUGUGUGCGUGUGUAAAAUGAGAAGUCGUGAAAAUAUCUGUGCUUUGCCACUGUGCAGCCUGACUGCGCUGGAAGGCCGAGCCUCGCGCGGGACGCAUUUUGCAGACGCACCCUCAGGCGGGUCACAGCCUGCGUGCCCCGCACGGUUUUUCCAGGGCUCGGGCAGGCGACCCAGGGCUCCUUCUCUGUCCUCUCUUUGUGGUUUCCAAUCGUUCAUUCAUUCGUUCGACCUCUCAUUCAUUCCAAACUUCUACCCGCCACCUCUUCACUGGUUCACCACUACCUCCCCGCCCCCACUUUUCUUGCCAAAUGUCAGUGAUUCGGGACAGCUCCCAGCCAUGAAUUAAUAAAGACUGAGGCGCUGCUGCGGGGAAGGGCAGACAUUCGGGAAGGAACACGCUCGAUUUCAAUGCCACAGCCAACAAAUAAAUGGUCAUUUUUCCGGCUGAGAUUAGCGUGUUCAAAAACGCGUCCUCAAGCACAGCCGAUUUUUGUUUCUUUUUUCCCUUCUUCUCAGAGUAAGGUUAUUUCCCACCCGGACAACAUCACCCUAAACCUUCCUCGGACUGAAAAUCUGGUCCCAAAGACAACUGCUGUUUCCUGCUCACUAAAAAUCCGAAGGCUAACCGUAGAAGGCCACAUCCGAUCAUUCUCCAGCGUUCUGCUGUCACUAGAGAUGUUCUUUCUUCAUUGCAGCUCUUUGAACUAAUAUCAAAGAUGCAAAACAGCCAGGCUGAAAGUCCUUCCUUAGAAUUAUGGGGAACACUAACAUCUGUGUGGUCCCCUGCACAUCUUGAAUCCACACACUCUAAAAUCCCUAUAACGUUUCUGCAACAAAACAAACCAACGCAAAAUAAAACUUCAAAACCUUGCGUAAUGCAUCAAAACCCUACUACAAAGAAUCCCUUUUCAUGGCCGGAGAACCCCAACCUGGUUUCCUUUCACAUUUCUCAGGAAACAAAAAAUGUUAGCAUUUUAUCUUUUGCCCCAAAUCAGUUCUCUAAAGCUGCCCCCCCCCCCCCGGCUUACCGCAAGGGUUUGUCCCAAAAAGCUACCGCAUACAAUCACAAGCGGUGACAAUUCCCUCUGUCUUCACAAAGCCCAUUGAAGAGUUUCUAUUUUUUCUCUCGUCUAUUCUAUUAAUAACCCGCGUCCCUUUCACUUUUAGGCCAUGUUAAUUAAUGUUCUGACCCUCCAUCAGAGAAGGGAUUUUUCUAGUGCAUAGAAACCACAAGGUUGUCUGCAUUCUGGUGCGGGGGUGGUGGUGGUGGUGUUAAAACUUGAACUUUAAAAAUCCCCCUGACGGUGUAACUCUGCAUUCCUUAACAUAACAGAAGGACUAAAAACAUCGCCCGUAAUCAACGCCAGACAAAUAAAAACAACAGCCUCCGGGACGAUACAGCAAGUAUUCCUUAACCCCUUUCUAAAUAUAAAAAUACAGACUUCGAGGUGUAAAGUAGUAGGCAAAGGUCCCUAAAAAGGUACAUGCAUGUAUACUGGGCUAAGUGCAUCCUCCUCAGUGGUAAGCAAAAUAAAAUCCGUAGUUUGGGGUUCCCCACCAUCCUUGAUUUGCCCCCCAGCCGGGUCUGCGGCGCCCGCCCCGGGCAAGCGCUGCAGCUAGGACCUGGGGGGAGGGGCGGGAGAAUGACAAAGUUCUACAUGCAGCAGUUCGAGCGGAGCCCUGGGCUGCCAGCGCCGUCUGCACAUAAACUUUCCAGGCUCGGCAGCCUAGCCAUCUUGUUCCUGCAUCCACCUUUCCAUCCUUCCAAAUAGGAUCUUGCAGGAUCUCAGGGACCACAGCAUUGCCCCGAGCGCACCGAACCUGGUCAAACCCCAGAAAGAGGACCAAAAAAUGGAUGUGCGCUUUGGGGGGCAAGAAAAUGGGUAGGGGAAACCCCCUCUGGAAAAAGGCCGGUGGCACACAUUUCCUGGAGAACGUUUGAAGCCUCUCUCUGUCUCUUUCAAGAAAAGCCUAACCGGGACGCCCGGUCUCCAGGCGCUGGUGCCCCCACCUCGGGGCUUUGCGGGGCUCUCCGCACCCCGGGCGGCCGCGGCCCAGCCCGUCCCCCUCCGCGCCUUGGGCCGGGGCUGGCCGGCUUCAGAGCUGGCCCGGGCAGCACUUACCUAUUUGCACCGCGAGGAUCAGUGAAAUGUAUCUGCCGUUCAACUUAAGUCCCAUCCUAUGUUUACUCAAACCAUUUGCGACCGCAGACCUUUAAAUAGUUAGUUUAGAGAACGCGGGGGAAAGCUGAAAAAUAGGCAUUGCCAACAAGUUCCGGGAGCGGCGGAGACUUUGUGCACGGGAAGGCAGAGGGAGGAGAGAAA